GGGCCCGCACAAGCGGUGGAGCAUGUGGUUUAAUUCGACGCAACGCGAAGAACCUUACCAGGUCUUGACAUCCUGCGAACUUUCUAGAGAUAGAUUGGUGCCUUCGGGAACGCAGUGACAGGUGCUGCAUGGCUGUCGUCAGCUCGUGUCGUGAGAUGUUGGGUUAAGUCCCGUAACGAGCGCAACCCUUGUCCUUAGUUGCCAGCACUUCGGGUGGGAACUCUAAGGAGACUGCCGGUGACAAACCGGAGGAAGGUGGGGGACGACGUCAAGUCAUCAUGGCCCUUACGACCUGGGCUACACACGUGCUACAAUGGCCAGUACAGAGGGCUGCUAACCCGUGAGGGG
rnacentral:rRNA from 1 species